UACGUAGGGGGCAAGCGUUGUUCGGAUUCAUUGGGCGUAAAGGGUGCGUAGGUGGCGGGGUAAGUCAGGUGUGAAAUCUCGGGGCUCAACCCCGAAACUGCACUUGAUACUGCCUUGCUCGAGUACUGGAGAGGAGAUUGGAAUUUACGGUGUAGCAGUGAAAUGCGUAGAUAUCGUAAGGAAGACCAGUGGCGAAGGCGAAUCUCUGGACAGUUACUGACACUGAGGCACGAAGGCCAGGGGAGCAAACGGG
rnacentral:rRNA from 1 species